rnacentral:tRNA from 1 species
GCCCUUAUAGCUCAGUGGUAGAGCGCAUCACUAGUACAAUUGCUUACGUAAGCAAAGGACAUGAUGAGGUCCUCUGUUCGAUCCAGGGUGAGGGCA